UACGUAGGGUGCAAGCGUUGUCCGGAAUUAUUGGGCGUAAAGAGCUUGUAGGCGGUUUGUCGCGUCUGCUGUGAAAUUUCGGGGCUCAACCCCGAACUUGCAGUGGGUACGGGCAGACUAGAGUGUGGUAGGGGAGACUGGAAUUCCUGGUGUAGCGGUGAAAUGCGCAGAUAUCAGGAGGAACACCGAUGGCGAAGGCAGGUCUCUGGGACGUUACUGACGCUGAGACGCGAAAGCGUGGGGAGCAAACAGG
rnacentral:rRNA from 1 species